rnacentral:lncRNA from 1 species
CGGACAUCAAUUUUUUUUAUGUAGUUUUAAUUUUUAUAAUGUUUUGUACAAAUAUAUGAUAAUAAUUUGUUAGAUUUUGAAACUUUUUUCAACUAACGAAACUUGUUUACAUUGCGAAAUCAAUGUAAUUUGAUACCUCAGUCAUACGAUGUCUAUGAAUUACUACCGACCAUCCCCUGGUGAUAGUUUUUCGACGUAUUUCAAUAUAUUGCCUUUAUUUUAUAAGAAUCUUUUCAAAUAUUCAAAAUUUUUAAUUUAUAAUUCUAAUUAUUCAAAAUUUUGUAUUAGUUUAGGUUUAUUUAUUGUUUAUAUGAAAAUUUAUUUGUUUUUUUAUAUAAUUUAUCUGCGUUUGUAGUUUUGCCCUCUGUCUGCAGGAUCUCAUACUAAUUUUCGACUAAGAUUGCAAUUUUUCGUCGAAUUUUUAUGCGUUUAGCCGGGAAUCUGUUAUUAAUUCCUUUUAAAAAUGGCGGAACAACGAAUUAUUAUUCGUUAUUUAUCUAAUAUAAAUGGAAUUUUUAAUUAUUUCGUUUUAUUUUAUAAAGAAAAUACUUCAUACUAUAUCUGUCCCCCAUUUUCCAACGUGGGAUAUCCUAAUUGCGUUAGGCGAGAGGGGAAGUUCCUUUGUUUAUUUUUAUUGUGGGUGUUGUAAACACUAGCUGUGUUCGAUUUGACUACACUAACAGCACUAGUGUA